CACAACGAGAAAGCGCAAUGUCCACGACUGUCCCGGUUGCUCUUCCCGGCUAAAAUGCGCUUCCGCGGCCAGGUUGCUUCUCAGUUAACACCGCCGGAAAAAGCCUAGAACCCCGCCGCACGCCGGCGCCGCCGCAUUGGCCGCCACUCAGCUUACGUGGCAAUCCUGUCCAACGUCAGCUUCGCCGAAAAACAAAAACCGAAGCGCAUUUGGAGGAAUUGGAUUCCGUUUCCAUCCCGAAAUGGAUAAUCUCAUCCGAACCGCGAAUAAUCCCUCCAAUCCAAAACCGGCAAUGAAAGCUGUAUAACAAUUCCAACAAUUCGUAUGAAUUUUAAAUGCCUUCGGCAAGUGCAGCGCCAAAUAGUAAUCCCGCCAAGGCGAAGCUUAUUCCCGAUUCCGAUUCCUCGCUUGCCCACUUUCAAAAAUGCGUAUUUAAGCACAAAAUGCGAAUUCCCAAGAAACCUACCGUUUCAUUUUCCCUCUCUUCACUCUUCUUUACUUCCCCUUCCGAAUUCCAUUCCAUUCGCUCCCUUUCUUCGAGAGCUUUCCGUCGUUCUUCCUGCAAAACAAGCGCGAAUCCCACCGUAGGAGCUAAUCAGUUGGAUUCCAGUUGUACAAUGAAAGGGAUUAGUGUUGAUGACAAUGUAUCGCAAUCACAGAGUAUGACUGCUGAAGGUGGUCAGGGCCCGUGUAUUUGGUCAUCUCCUGGUGGCGGCGGCAGCGACAUUCGAAUAGGGAAACAUAUAUUUUGUAAUCGAUCUUUAAAUAUGAAAAAUAUUGUUGCGGUGGGUUUUGACAUGGAUUAUACCCUCGCGCAAUACAAAUCGGAAACGUUUGAGUCUCUUGCGUACAAUGGCACUGUUAAAAAGCUGGUGUAUGAUUUGGGGUAUGCUUCAGAGUUGUUGGAGUGGACUUUUGACUGGAAGUACAUGGUCAGAGGUUUGGUUCUCGAUAAAAAGAGGGGCAAUAUAUUGAAGAUGGACAGGCAUAAAUAUGUAAAAGUAGCUUAUCAUGGAUUUAGAGAGUUAUCAAAAGAAGAUAAAGUUGCCGCAUACGGAAGCACUCUGACUCGAGAUUCAUUUGAUGAACCUGAUUAUGCCCUUAUUGAUACCCUUUUUUCUCUGGCUGAAGCAUACUUGUUUGCUCAACUUGUUGACUUCAAGGACAAUAAUCCUGGAAAAGUUCCAGAUGGCACAGACUAUUCUCGUAUGUACAGAGAUGUUCGAGCUGCUGUGGACUUGUGCCAUCGGGAUGGGACCUUGAAGCAAAUGGUCGCGAAAAAUCCUGAAAUGUAUAUCAAUGAGGAUGCAUCAAUUGUUCCCAUGCUGAAAAUGCUCAGAGACUCUGGCCGUGCAACAUUUUUGGUGACAAAUAGUCUAUGGGACUACACAAACAUAGUAAUGACUUUUCUCUGUGGGCCUCAUACAGCGGAUGGUAGUUCCACUUCAAAAUUUGAGUGGCUCCGAUUAUUUGAUGUGGUCAUUACUGGAAGUGCAAAACCAAGUUUCUUCCAUGAUGAGAAACGUGCCAACCUCUUUGAGGUUGUACCUGACUCUGGAGUGCUACUGAACACUGAUAAUGGCACUCCUGUACCUCAGGUGGGAGCUGCUUUACACCAUCCACUAAAAAUCAUGAAUAAGGAUUGUCGAGUAUUCCAGGGUGGUAAUGUCGGUCAUCUCCAUAAACUACUUGGUAUUGAGUCGAGUUCGCAGGUUCUUUAUGUUGGGGAUCAUAUAUAUGGAGACAUUUUACGCAGCAAAAAGGUUCUAGGGUGGAGAACAAUGCUAGUUGUUCCUGAGCUUGAGAAGGAGGUAGAGCUCCUUUGGGAUCUGAGGGAUACCCGUGAGGAACUUCGACUGUUGAGGAAAGAGCGUGACCUUGUUGAAGGCAAAAUACAACGUCUGAAAUGGUCUCUAAAGAUCGGAGGACUGGACGGACGAUUGGCACGGGGCUUGAGUCUCACGGUCUCUACUAUCUGUCUCUCCUUGCUUCUUUAGUGGUGUGCACGACGACAACUUCCCCACUACAAGUCCAUUGUCGGUUGGGGCACCCAUCUCUUCCCAAUCUUAAGAAGAUGGUUCCCAGUCUCUCUAGUAUUUCUUCCUUAGAGUGUGAGUCUUGUUAACUUGGGAAACAUAGUCGUAGUUAUUUCCCGAGUAGAGUCAAUAAACGUGCUAAUUCUUCUUUUUCAGUAGUCCAUUCAGAUGUAUGGGGUCCCAAUCGUGUCAGUUCACAAGACGAUUUUCGUUAUUUUGUAACAUUUAUUGAUGAUUUCUCUCGGAUUACAUGGUUAUAUUUAAUGAAAACGCGUUCAGAGCUAUUUUCAGUCUUCACUACAUUUUGUGCUGAAAUUAGAACACAGUUUAAUUUGCCUAUCUGUGUUCUUCGUAGUGAUAAUGCUCUUGAAUAUUUGUCUCUCCCAUUUAAAUCUUAUAUGGCAUCCAAUGGGAUUCUUCACCAGACUUUGUGUCCUAGAACCCCACAACAAAAUGGGGUAGCUGAACGCAAGAAUCGUCAUUUAAUUGAGACAGCCCGUACUCUUCUCCUUCAUAUGCAUGUUCCACUUCAAUACUGGAGCGAUGCUGUUUUAACUGCAUGUUACUUAAUUAACCGCAUGCCAUCUUCUGUUCUUAAUGACCAGAUUCCUCAUUCCAUUCUUUUUCCUCGAGUUGACUUAUAUUCUCUUCCUCCUCGUAUCUUUGGGAGUACGUGCUUUGUUCACCAUCUUGCUCCAGGUCGUGAUAAGUUAUCCGCUCGUUCCGUCAAAUGUGUUUUUCUGGGUUAUUCUCGCCUUCAAAAGGGGUAUCGUUGCUACUCUCCUCAAUUAACUUGAUAUUUUAUUUCAGCGGAUGUUACCUUCUUUGAGUCAUCUCCUUAUUUCCCUUAUUCAUCUGCGAUCUCCGAUUCUGUGUCUGUUGGGUUACCUUUGCCUAUCCCUUUUCUUGACCUAACAUCAUCUCCAGCUCCAAUGUCUUCACCCUCUCCACCAUCCUUUACCUCUCACCUUGAUCGCACCGAUCUUCAGGUCUAUCAACGGCGUCCACAACUCGUGGCCCAACCAGCACCGACAGUUGUCGUUAGUCCGCGGGAGCCGUCUCCAGACUCAUCCCCUGUACCAGUUCGUUCUUCCUCCUUCGGUUCGUCGCCUUCGACUCUUGAUCUUGACUUGCCUAUUGCUCUUCGUAAAGGUACUCGCCAUCCUAUUUCCCAUUUUGUUAGCUAUGAUAAUUUGUCCCCUGGAUAUUCUGCUUUUAUUUCUUCUUUAUCUUCUGUUUCACCUCCUAAAUCUGUUCCCGAAGCUCUUUCCCAUCUAGGGUGGCGGGCUGCUAUGGUCGAAGAAAUGUCUGCUUUACAUUCUACCGGGACUUGGGACUUGGUACCUCUUCCCAAGGGUUUGAAGGACUUGAUGGUGGGGAGAAGCAAGGGCUAUCAUUUGAGCUUGCGCAGUUGGAGUCUAAAAGAGAGGAGGUUCGUCUUAGUCAUCAACAAGCUCUGCGGCAAUUUCACCAAAAG